UUAUUGAGUAACUCAGCAAUUUUGUCAAAUUCUUAGAGGAUAAUCUAAAAAGAAAUGGAUUUCUUAUAUACAUUUAUUAUUAAAUUUCUAUUUGGUGUUGUUAGUUCUCAAUUGUAAAAGAUUUAUAAUUAUUGUAAAUAUUAAUAAUGAGAUUAAAUAAAACCAAAAUAUGUUGAACUGUAGAACAAUGAAAUUGUGCAAGAUUUUUCAUUGUGCUUAUACGCUUAUUAGUUCAAUGAUGGUUGUCUCAACAUUUUUAAUAUAAUUGAAGAUGUAUAUGAUCCAGAAAACCAGUGAGCAGCGCAUCGAAGUUUCCCUUGGUUAUGUUAUUCCAAGUAGAAAUCUAGGUUACAGAAUAUAUAGGCUUAUAUAGCAAGUCUUAUUUGAUAAUUCUAAUCCACUAAACCAGGAAAAAUAUUAACUAAUAUAAUCUGAGACAAUAACAGAAUUAUGUAAUAUGAAGCCUAGUCUGUGACACUCACCAUAAAGUUGGUGAAUGGAUGUUUAGCAUUCCCAUCUUGCUUCUUAAUUAGCCUUCAAACUUCACCCACAUUAGGGCUUCAGUUAAAAUAUCUGUAACUUGGCUCUGAGUAUACAUGUAGCUGAAAUUGGUGAACCCUAAUUCAAGUUUUUCGUUUGUGAAUUUCCUAUCCAGCUCCACAUGGUUUGUCCUGUCAUAUGAUGGACUGGGUUGUUAACAAUGCUGAUAGUAGCCAUGCUGUCAAAUUUAGUUUCAUAGAAUUGUGCUUCUUUAAUUUGUCGAGGAGUCCUUUUAAUCACAAUCCCUCAAAAAACCCCACGGACAAUGCUCUGUACUUUGCUUCAACACUAUUUCUUGCUACUAGAGAUUGGAUCUUGCUCAUCCAGUCGACAAGAUUACCUUACAUAUAUGUGUGUGCAGUUUUAUCACUGUCAUCACUCUUUUUGAAAAAAAUAUAACAAAUAUCAUUUCAGGGAUCUUCAUAUAUCUCAAUACUCUGUAUACAAACUUCAGUGGGUUUCUUCAACAAUCAACACACAUUCUCUUCUUCACCAAACUGCCUUUAUAUUUGGUUUUCAUGGUAGGAUCUGUUAGAUUGCAACCUGGCAUCCAUCUCUACUUCAAUAAAUCAAUUGUGUAAUUUUUCUUUUUUUUUUUUUUGUGAAACUACAAUUCCCUUUUUGAACGUUGCAACCUCCCCUCUUAGAAAAGGCCACAGUUCACCAUGAACAUUAAUUUCAAAUUCUCUUAAGAGUAAGGACUUCAGUUGUUUAGUUUUCUCUUUGUCAUUACCACUGAUUACUAUGUCAUCAACAUAGACAAUUAGAAUAGCUCUUGACCUAGAUGUGGAGAUCUUGGUGAAUGGGGUGAGAUCUAACUUGAUCGUGACAAAUAUCCAUACCCUCUAAUGACCUAUAAAAUUCUGUCAAACCAUGCACUAGGCAAUCACUUGAGACCAUAAAGUGAUUUCUUCAGCUUUCACACUUUAUUGGUUCUAAACUGCAUGGUUACUUGCCUCUUCUAAGUAGUGGUGGAGCCAAGAUCCUAAGCCAGAGGGUGCAAGAUAAUUUAAUUUAAAAUUGAUAAUUUUUAAAAUAAUAAUUUAAUGAUUAAAAAUAAGGGAGAAUCACAUUCAGGGUCCCUAUAUGAGAAAAAAUGGUAGUGAGGGCAUAGAACAAUAGAAGGCUCAGUGAUGCACAAGACAAAGUGCAUCGAUUCAGUUGUGCAUGCUGAGCUUUUUAUUGUUAUGGGCCCUCUCUACCAUUUUUUCUCAUCUGGGUGUCCUGAAUGCGGUUCUUCCUAAAAAUAAUAACCAUACUAUGAUUAAAACUGUAAUAACAUGAGUAGAUUAAUAAUCAUUUUUCUUUUUGGAAAAUUAUAUUGAAUUGGUUGAUAUGAUCUUUUAUGUAAAUAUGUUCAUAUCUUAUUUCAAUCAUUAAAAUAUUACAUAUUUAAUAAGCUUUUAAGAUUAAAUAUUUUUUAUUUAGCCCAAAGAGUGCAAAAUAUAAAGAGUAGGGGGUGUAAAGUUGCAAAUUUUACAUGCCCUACUUGUAAUUUUUUCCCAAUGCAAACCCUCACUGUAAUGUGGCUUUGCCAAUGCUUCUAAGUCCCCACUUAAAAAUGCAUUCUUCAAAUCAAACUGAUGAAGUAGCCAAUCAAUGUUGGAAACAAGGGAGAACGAGACCUUGAUAGUAUUGAACUUGGUGACGGGCAAGGAGUCUUUUGAUUGUCAAUUCUUUAGAUUUGUCUAAACCUUUUCUGAGACUAGCCUUGCUUUUUGCCAAUUUAUUGUGAAAACUCACUUGCAGCCCUCAAGUUUCUUUCAUCCUAGUAGAUCACAAACCGCCCAUAUUCCGUUAUGGUCUAGGGCAUUUAGCUUAUCCUGAAUUGUCAUUCCCUAUUCUGGUUGGGCUAUAGACAACCAAUAUUCUGGGGAAUCUUCUCAUUGCUAAGGUUUGCAACAAAGGACUUGUAUGUCGACAAUACAACAACAAGAAGUCUUAUCCCACAAUGUAGGCAUGCUACUAUUGGGCGAAGUGUGGCAGGAUCUUGCCCCUUUUCUUAAGGUAAUGAGAGCACCUAUCACUAUUGUGCCCUCCUUAUUGAUGUUGGCACUUGGACCAGGAUCAAAGGCAUGCAUCAUGGGAGCUGGCUCUUGCACAUUCUUCCUCCUUGAAUAGUUUCAGGUCUGGCAAGUUCUUCUGGAGCUGUGAUAAGAGGUUCUGAACUUGGUGAUUGUAUAAUGACUGGGAUAGUGGUUGAGAUGUCAUUAUUUUCAGCGUUAAAUUCCCAUUCUUGUACUCUCUCCCAAAUGGGCAAUAUGGGGAAGUGGGGCUGAAGCUGAGUUUCAAAGAAUGUAGCGCCUAUGGUAGUGUAAGGCUGCUUUGCAACUGAUGAGUAACACUUAGAUGCGUUUAAGAGCUUGUUGAUCAAGUUGGGAUGGCAUCUAUCACUUUUGUCUUACUGAUGUUGGGACUUGGACUGGGAUCGAAGGCAUGCAUCAUGGGAGCUGCCUCUUGCACAUUCUUCCUCCUUGAAUAUGUCUGCCAUCUGAAGUUCCCUUUUUUCACAUCAUCCACGUUAUCCUCAGUUCUAGGUUUGGCUUGAUUAUUAGUUUCAGGUCUGGCAAGUUCUUCUGGAGUUGUAAUAACAGGUUCAGAACUUGGUGAUUGUAUAAUGACUGGGAUAGUGGUUAAUAUGUCAUUAUUUUCAGCGUCAAAUUCCCAUUCUUGUACUCUCCCCCUGAAUGGGCAAUAUGUGGAAGUAGGGCUGACCGGCCGAGUUUCAAAGAAUGUAGCGUCCGCGGUAGCGUAGGGCUGCUUUGCAACUGAUGAGUAACACUUGGAUGCGUUUAAGAGCUUGUUGGUCAAGUUGGGAUGGUCCAGUAUAAAAUGCCACAACCCACACCAACUUUGGAGGGCAUACAAUAUUUACGAUAACACGAAGAGUCCGCGACAUGGACUGUGUUUACGAGGCCUAGGCUGUGAUGGCAAAUCACUAAUAAGCCUAGCCUCUUUAUUUAAUAUUUUCAUUGUGUUGAGUUUGGUAAGGUGGUGUCUAACGCUUGGAUUUAAGAGUUGUCUAAAGUCAGCUUCUAAUUGGUGAUA